GGGUUGUGAGGUUAAGCGACUAAGCGUACACGGUGGAUGCCCUGGCAGUCAGAGGCGAUGAAGGACGUGCUAAUCUGCGAAAAGCGUCGGUAAGGUGAUAUGAACCGUUAUAACCGGCGAUGUCCGAAUGGGGAAACCCAGUGCAAUUCGUUGCACUAUCGUUAACUGAAUACAUAGGUUAACGAGGCGAACCGGGGGAACUGAAACAUCUAAGUACCCCGAGGAAAAGAAAUCAACCGAGAUUCCCCCAGUAGCGGCGAGCGAACGGGGAGCAGCCCAGAGUCUGAAUCAGCUUGUGUGUUAGUGGAACGGUCUGGAAAGUCCGACGGUACAGGGUGAUAGUCCCGUACACCAAAAUGCACAGGUUGUGAACUCGAAGAGUAGGGCGGGACACGUGGUAUCCUGUCUGAAUAUGGGGGGACCAUCCUCCAAGGCUAAAUACUCCUGACUGACCGAUAGUGAACCAGUACCGUGAGGGAAAGGCGAAAAGAACCCCGGCGAGGGGAGUGAAAAAGAACCUGAAACCGUGUACGUACAAGCAGUGGGAGCACCUUCGGGUGUGACUGCGUACCUUUUGUAUAAUGGGUCAGCGACUUAUAUUCUGUAGCAAGGUUAACCGUAUAGGGGAGCCGCAGGGAAACCGAGUCUUAACUGGGCGUUAAGUUGCAGGGUAUAGACCCGAAACCCGGUGAUCUAGCCAUGGGCAGGUUGAAGGUUGGGUAACACUAACUGGAGGACCGAACCGACUAAUGUUGAAAAAUUAGCGGAUGACUUGUGGCUGGGGGUGAAAGGCCAAUCAAACCGGGAGAUAGCUGGUUCUCCCCGAAAGCUAUUUAGGUAGCGCCUCGUGAACUCAUCUUCGGGGGUAGAGCACUGUUUCGGCUAGGGGGUCAUCCCGACUUACCAACCCGAUGCAAACUACGAAUACCGAAGAAUGUUAUCACGGGAGACACACGGCGGGUGCUAACGUCCGUCGUGAAGAGGGAAACAACCCAGACCGCCAGCUAAGGUCCCAAAGUCAUGGUUAAGUGGGAAACGAUGUGGGAAGGCACAGACAGCCAGGAUGUUGGCUUAGAAGCAGCCAUCAUUUAAAGAAAGCGUAAUAGCUCACUGGUCGAGUCGGCCUGCGCGGAAGAUGUAACGGGGCUAAACCAUGCACCGAAGCUGCGGCAGCGACACUAUGUGUUGUUGGGUAGGGGAGCGUUCUGUAAGCCUGCGAAGGUGUGCUGUGAGGCAUGCUGGAGGUAUCAGAAGUGCGAAUGCUGACAUAAGUAACGAUAAAGCGGGUGAAAAGCCCGCUCGCCGGAAGACCAAGGGUUCCUGUCCAACGUUAAUCGGGGCAGGGUGAGUCGACCCCUAAGGCGAGGCCGAAAGGCGUAGUCGAUGGGAAACAGGUUAAUAUUCCUGUACUUGGUGUUACUGCGAAGGGGGGACGGAGAAGGCUAUGUUAGCCGGGCGACGGUUGUCCCGGUUUAAGCAUGUAGGCUGAUUGUCCAGGCAAAUCCGGAUAAUCAAGGCUGAGGUGUGAUGACGAGGCACUACGGUGCUGAAGUAACAAAUGCCCUGCUUCCAGGAAAAGCCUCUAAGCAUCAGGUAACAUCAAAUCGUACCCCAAACCGACACAGGUGGUCAGGUAGAGAAUACCAAGGCGCUUGAGAGAACUCGGGUGAAGGAACUAGGCAAAAUGGUGCCGUAACUUCGGGAGAAGGCACGCUGGUGUGUAGGUGAAGUCCCUGCGGAUGGAGCUGAGACCAGUCGAAGAUACCAGCUGGCUGCAACUGUUUAUUAAAAACACAGCACUGUGCAAACACGAAAGUGGACGUAUACGGUGUGACGCCUGCCCGGUGCCGGAAGGUUAAUUGAUGGGGUUAUCCGUAAGGAGAAGCUCUUGAUCGAAGCCCCGGUAAACGGCGGCCGUAACUAUAACGGUCCUAAGGUAGCGAAAUUCCUUGUCGGGUAAGUUCCGACCUGCACGAAUGGCGUAAUGAUGGCCAGGCUGUCUCCACCCGAGACUCAGUGAAAUUGAACUCGCUGUGAAGAUGCAGUGUACCCGCGGCAAGACGGAAAGACCCCGUGAACCUUUACUAUAGCUUGACACUGAACAUUGAGCCUUGAUGUGUAGGAUAGGUGGGAGGCUUUGAAGCGUGGACGCCAGUCUGCGUGGAGCCAACCUUGAAAUACCACCCUUUAAUGUUUGAUGUUCUAACGUUGGCCCCUGACCGGGGUUGCGGACAGUGUCUGGUGGGUAGUUUGACUGGGGCGGUCUCCUCCCAAAGCGUAACGGAGGAGCACGAAGGUUAGCUAAUCCUGGUCGGACAUCAGGAGGUUAGUGCAAUGGCAUAAGCUAGCUUGACUGCGAGCGUGACGGCGCGAGCAGGUGCGAAAGCAGGUCAUAGUGAUCCGGUGGUUCUGAAUGGAAGGGCCAUCGCUCAACGGAUAAAAGGUACUCCGGGGAUAACAGGCUGAUACCGCCCAAGAGUUCAUAUCGACGGCGGUGUUUGGCACCUCGAUGUCGGCUCAUCACAUCCUGGGGCUGAAGUAGGUCCCAAGGGUAUGGCUGUUCGCCAUUUAAAGUGGUACGCGAGCUGGGUUUAGAACGUCGUGAGACAGUUCGGUCCCUAUCUGCCGUGGGCGCUGGAGAAUUGAGGGGGGCUGCUCCUAGUACGAGAGGACCGGAGUGGACGCAUCACUGGUGUUCGGGUUGUCAUGCCAAUGGCACUGCCCGGUAGCUAAAUGCGGAAGAGAUAAGUGCUGAAAGCAUCUAAGCACGAAACUUGCCCCGAGAUGAGUUCUCCCUGAGACCUUAAGUCUCCUGAAGGAACGUUGAAGACGACGACGUUGAU
rnacentral:rRNA from 1 species